rnacentral:rRNA from 1 species
GUCUACGGCCAUACCACCCUGAACGCGCCCGAUCUCAUCUGAUCUCGGAAGCUAAGCAGGGUCGGGCCUGGUUAGUACUUGGAUGGGAGAAAUAAACACACUCUUGAUU